AGUGAACGCUGGCGGCGUGCCUAAUACAUGCAAGUCGAACGGAGUGGCGCACGGGUGAGUAAUAUAUCGCUAAUCUGCCCCUUGCUGGAGGACUACAGUCAGAAAUGACUGCUAAUACUCCAUAGAAAGGGAUGAGACUAUAUCGUAUCAGCUAGUCGGUGGGGUAACGGCCUACCGAGGCUAUGACGCGUAACUGGUCUGAGAGGAUGAUCAGUCACAUUGUAACUGAGACACGAUGCAAACACCUAGCGGAUGCAGCAGUAGGCAAUAGUGCGCAAUGGGGGCAACCGUGACGCAGCAACGCGGCGUGGAGGAUGACACUUUUGGGAGAAUAAACUCCUUUUGGUAGGGAAGCGGUACCUGAAGAAGAAGCACCGGCUAACUCCGUGCCAGCAGCCGCGGUAAUUC
rnacentral:rRNA from 1 species